AUACGGAGGAUGCGAGCGUUAUCCGGAUUUAUUGGGUUUAAAGGGUGCGCAGGCGGUCUAUUAAGUCAGUGGUGAGAUCUCCGGGCUCAACCCGGAAACUGCCAUUGAAACUGGUCGACUUGAGUAUGGAUGAAGUAGGCGGAAUUCGUUGUGUAGCGGUGAAAUGCAUAGAUAUAACGAGGAACCCCGAUUGCGUAGGCAGCUUACUAAACCAUAACUGACGCUCAAGCACGAAAGCGUGGGUAUCAAACAGGAUUAGAUACCCUGGUAGUCCACGCCGUAAACUAUGAUUACUAGUUGUUUGCGAUAUGAUAGUAAGUGACUAAGCGAAAGCGAUAAGUAAUCCACCUGGGGAGUACGCCGGCAACGGUGAA
rnacentral:rRNA from 1 species